GAUGAACGCUGACCGAAUGCUUAACACAUGCAAGUCAACUGUGGCGGACGGGUGAGUAACGCGUAAAGAACUUGCCUCCCAGUUAGGGACACCAUUUGGAAACGAAUGCUAAUACCUGAUACUGUGAGAGAGCUUUGCGUCCCAUUAGCUAGUUGGAGAGGUAACGGCUCACCAAGGCGAUGAUGGGUAGCCGGCCUGAGAGGGUGAUCGGCCACAAGGGGACAGAGACACGGCCCUUAAGCCUACGGGAGGAAGCAGUGGGGAAUAUUGGACAAUGGACCAAAGUCUGAUCCAGAAAUUCUGUGUGUACGAUGAAGUUUUCGGAAUGUAAAGUGCUUUAAGUUGGGAAGCGGUACCAACAGAAGAAGUGACGGCUAAAUACGUGCCAGCAGCCGCGGUAAUAC
rnacentral:rRNA from 1 species